GUUAAUUUAGAAAGUUUAUUUUUGCCAAGGUUGAGGAUGCACGCCCGUGACACAGCCUCAGGAGGUCCUGAUGACACAUGCCCAAGGUGGUCAGAGCACAGUUUGGUUUUAUAUAUUUUAGGGAGAUACAUCAAUCAACAUAUGUAAGAUGUACAUUGGUUCAGUCCGGAAAGGCGGGACAACUCGAAGCGGGAGGUGGCUUCCAGGUCAUAGGUAGAUAAAAGGCAAAUGGUUGCAUUCUUUUGAGUUUGUGAUGAGCCUCUCCAAAGGAGGCAAUCAGAUAUGCAUUUAUUUCAUUGAGCAGAGGGGUGACUUUGAAUAGAAGGGGAGGCAGGUUGGCACUAAGCAGUUCCCAGCUUGACUUUUCCCUUUAGUGAUUUUGGGUCCCUCAGAUUUAUUCUUCUCUCACAAACCAGAAGACAAACUGCCACAGAGUGAUGAGCACCCUGGAGAACUGGAAUUGGGCCACACAGGCCAGCACCAGGUGGCUGCUUUAGCCCGGGUGGUCCACACGGCUUUGCCGGGAAGGGGACAUUUCAGUCAAAAUCUAGAAAACAAGGAGCAAACCAGGUAGUGAGUGAGUUCUGGCUCUAAGAGUUCAUGCAAGAGCUGAUUGUUUAAAGAGGCUGGCACCUCCUCCUCCCUCUCUUGCCACGUGAGACCCCGCUGCCCCUUGGCCUUCUGCCAUGAUUGAAAGCUUCCUGAGGCCCCACUGGAAGCAGAUGCUGACACCGUUGCUUCGUGUACAGUCUGUAGAACUAUGAGACAAAUAAACUGCUUUGUAAAUACCCAGCCUCAGUAUUCCUUUAUAGCAGUGCAAAACAGACUAAUCAAAGGGGGAAGCAUUUCCAGGUAAAGAAGAUAACCAAUUAUUGUUAUUGUAAUAUCUAAAGAAACCGUAAAUUUCAAAGGUAAAAUCUAACCUUAUUCUAGUGCCCAAGGAAGUGCUGGGAAUGUUUAAAUAAGAGGGCAGCAGGGAAUGGAAGGAGCGCCUCGGAAAUGCCUACUCCAUGCCAGGCUCCCUACUACAGGCUUUACGUGUUAUCUUGUACAUCUCAGUAAGAUGAGCAGACAUGGUGCUUUUUAAAAGACGUCAUGGGAGUUUGAAAGGGGGAAGAUUGGGUAAAUGGAAAAACAGAAGUCAUGGCUUUGCAAAAGUUGAAUCAAACUGCUCCUUGGCCCGGCCCCAUCACACACACAGAUCCCCCUUGGCAUGGCCAAAAUGAGUGUGUUCAUUGGCAAAUCAGCAGCCACUCUUGGAAGCUCUGACUUCUCUGGAAGGCAGAUGACAGAAGCAGUCUAUUUUAUUCCUAUUUUAUAGAUGAGGGAACUGAGGCUCAGAAACAAACACUCAUCAUUUGAAUACAGGAGCCAUUACCGAAUCAAACCUCUCUGGAAACCGCCUGAACUCUAUGUGAUCCAGGAAGGGGAAAGACUGUGUGCUCAGUUAGAGAAAGACUAGAGAUGGUCACACCAGCUACCAUUAGUUGAGACCUUACCAGACACAGUGCUCACCACUCCACAGUCACAGACAAACAUCUCACUUAAAACUCCAAAGUGGCCGGGUGCGGUGGCUCAUGCCUGUAGUCCCAGCACGUUGGGAGGCUGAGGUGGGCGGAUUAAGAGGUCAAGAAUUUGAGACCAGCCUGGCCAACAUGGCGAAACCCCGUCUCUACUAAGAAUACAAAAAUUAGGGCUGGGCGCGGUG
rnacentral:lncRNA from 10 species